UUGUGGAGGAGGACGCCGAAGGUGGGGCUAAUGACUGGGGUGAAGUCGUAACAAGGUAGCCGUACCGGAAGGUGCGGCUGGAUCACCUCCUAACAGGGAGACAACAAAAUGUUUAAUAUUAUUAUUUUGUCACCUUAGGUCGAUCGGUAUCUCACGUUCUUAAUUUGUUAAGAAUUUCAUUUCCUAAGUUUUUCUAGGUCACACCCAUUAUUUUUCCUGGGCCAUUAGCUCAGGUGGUUAGAGCGCACCCCUGAUAAGGGUGAGGUCCCUGGUUCAAGUCCAGGAUGGCCCAUAUCUCUAUGUUGGGGUAUAGCUCAGUUGGUAGAGCGCCUGCUUUGCAAGCAGGAUGUCAGCGGUUCGAGUCCGCUUACCUCCACUGAUUACCACCUCUUCCAUAACUGGUAGAAAGGAAAUGUUUUGAGUUGUGAUUAUUAUUCUGAACGAAUCUAGCUUCCUAAUGAAAUCAUUAAGAUGCUGGACUCAUUGAAUUAAUUUCAUUGUUUUCAGAGAACCUUGACAACUGCAUAGAUUUUUUUAAAGACAAUAAGCAUCUUUAAUGAUGCAGAUUUAUUAUUUGUGCGAAUGCAUUAAUAACAAUUCUAUUAUGCUGAUGCUUCAAUUUUGAAGUUAUUGGUCAAGCUACAA
rnacentral:misc_RNA from 1 species